rnacentral:rRNA from 1 species
CUGCAGCUCAAGUGGUGACCGCUAUUAUUGGGCCUAAAACGUUCGUAGCCGGUUUGGUAAAUGUUUGGGUAAAUCGUGUAGCUUAACUAUACGAAUUCCGGAUAGACUGCCAAACUUGAGACCGGGAGAAGCUAGAGGUACUCCUGGGGUAGAGGUGAAAUUCUGUAAUCCUAGGGGGACCACCAGUGGCGAAGGCGUCUAGCUAGAACGGGUCUGACGGUGAGGGACGAAGCCCUGGGGCGCAAACCGGAUUAGAUACCCGAGUAGUCC